AUGCUCUGCUGUUCUCUGGCCCUGCUGCUGGGCACAUUCUUAGGUGUGAGAGCCCAGACAAUCCAGCAAUGUCCGCGGAGCACGGUGAAGCAGGCAGGCGGCCGCCUGUCACUGGAAUGCACUGUGAAGGGGACAUCAAACCCCAACCUGUACUGGUACCAUCAGGCUACAGGGGGGACCCUCCAGCUGCUCUUCACCUCCAUCAGUGUUGGGAGUGUCCAGUCUGAGGCCCCCACGCACCUGAACGCCGUCCGGCCCCAGGACGGCCAGUUCAACCUGACUUCUGAGAAUCUCACCCUUGGCGACUCUGGCUUGUACCUCUGCGCCUGGAAGAAGCACGGAGAACUUGGGAAAGAGAAGGAAAUAACGGUCCAGGGCCACGCGGCUGUGGAAGGGGACCAGAGGGAGUUCCCGGCCUAG